GUUCGCUCAGUUUGUUUAUAUCUAGAGAAACACGAACCCGCACCGUUAUUGUCAUAACAAUUAUUAACGUUAAUUGUUCAUUAAUAAUAACAAUCAUUAUUGUGAUAUUUUGUGAUUUAUUUAUUUUCAAACACAUGUCCGGCUCACAGCUGACGCGAGUGAUGCGUGAAAUGGAUUUGGAUAUUUGCAAUAUGCUGACGUCGCCAGAAGGCCUGCACUAUUGGUUCACGGAGUUCGACGGCUGGGUAUGCAGGUUCAAUGCCAGCUUCAGCUUUUCAAGGUCGCUUCCAAAACUUCAUGAAAACGCCAGUCAAGCUCAAAAAUGCCAAAACUGUGCCAAAGAACAGAGAACUGAAAAUAAACAUGAAACACAGCCAAGUUCUGAAAAUGGAAUCGUUAAAACACAGUCGAGUACAGACAAUCCAACACUCCACGAAUUCAUUGUAAAUGGACUGUUAAUUGCACAGAAGAAAGAUAAGAUAAGAAAUAAGACUGACUUUUUAAAUAUUUUCAAGGGAAAUGAUGAUUUUACGCAAUACGAUUAUGUAUUGCUGUCAACUGUGAAGGAAAAUGGAAGGAAACAUUAUUAUAAAUAUAUAUUACGGUCUAAGAUUUGA